CUACGGGUUGCAGCAGUGAGGAAUAUUGCACAAUGGGGGGAACCCUGAUGCAGCAACGCCACGUGGAGGAUGACGCAUUUCGGUGUGUAAACUCCUUUUAUAUGUCAAGAAAAUGACGGUAGCAUAUGAAUAAGCACCGGCUAACUCCGUACCAGCAGCCGCGGUCAUACGGAGGGUGCAAGCGUUACUCGGAAUCACUGGGCGUAAAGGACGCGUAGGCGGGUUGGAAAGUCAGGUGUGAAAUCCUACAGCUUAACUGUAGAACUGCACUUGAAACUUCUAAUCUAGAGUAUGGGAGGGGGAGAUGGAAUUAGUGGUGUAGGGGUAAAAUCCGUAGAUAUCACUAGGAAUACCUAAAGCGAAGGCGAUCUCCUGGAACAUUACUGACACUAAGGCGUGAAAGCGUGGGGAGCAAACAGGAUUAGAUACCCCCGUAGUC
rnacentral:rRNA from 1 species